rnacentral:rRNA from 1 species
AGUGGAAAGGAUGUGAAGUCGCAUAGACAACCAGGAGGUUGGCUUAGAAGCAGCCACCCUUAAAAGAGUGCGUAAUAGCUCACUGGUCAAGUGAUUUCGCGCCGACAAUGUAACGGGGCUCAAGCACAGCACCGAAGUUCUAUCAUUCAAGCAUUAUCCCGGUCGUAAGAUCCAGGAGCUUGGAUGGGUAGGAGAGCGUUGUGUGACUGGUGAAGCGGCAGAGGAAUCUAGCCGUGGAAGUCACACAAGUGAGAAUGUAGACAUGAGUAGCGAGAGAGGGGUGAGAAACCCCUCCGCCGAAAGACCAAGGGUUCCUGGGCCAGGCUAAUCCGCCCAGGGUAAGUCGGGACCUAAGGCGAGGCCGUCAGGCGUAGUCGAUGGACAACUGGUUGAUAUUCCAGUACCCGCUUAAAAUCGCCCAUAGCGAAUGUACUAAUGCUAAGACCCAUAAUCAGGCUGGCUUCGGUCAGACCUGAGGUUGCGUCGAACCGGUGUACUAGUAGCUAAGCAAUGGUGUGACGCAGGAAGGUAGUUCAUCCCGGGCGAUGGUUGUCCCGGGGUAAGGUCGUAGGGCGUUACGUAGGCAAAUCCGCGUAACACAUGCCUGAGAGCUGAUGCCGAGCCGUAAGGCGAAGUGAAUGAUCCUAUGCUGCCAAGAAAAGCAUCUAGCAAGAUUUUAAGUAGCCCGUACCCGAAACCGACACAGGUGGUCAGGUAGAGAAUACCAAGGCGAUCGAGAUAAUUAUGGAUAAGGAACUCGGCAAAAUGCCCCCGUAACUUCGGGAGAAGGGGGGCCCUUUGACGUGUAGGAGUUUUCCUCCGAAGCGUUGGAAGGCCGCAGAGACCAGGCUCAAGCGACUGUUUACCAAAAACACAGGUCCGUGCGAAGUAGCAAUACGAUGUAUACGGACUGACGCCUGCCCGGUGCUGGAAGGUUAAGGGGACUGGUUAGCCGCAAGGCGAAGCUGAGAACUUAAGCCCCAGUAAACGGCGGUGGUAACUAUAACCAUCCUAAGGUAGCGAAAUUCCUUGUCGGGUAAGUUCCGACCUGCACGAAUGGCGUAACGACUUGAGCGCUGUCUCAUCCGUAAACUCGGCGAAAUUGCAUUACGAGUAAAGAUGCUCGUUACGCGCAGAAAGACGGAAAGACCCCGGGACCUUUACUAUAUCUUGAUAUUGGUGUUCGGAACGGUUUGUGUAGCAUAGGUGGGAGACUUUGAAGCGGGCACGCCAGUGUUUGUGGAGUCAUCGUUGAAAUACCACUCUGAUCGUUUUGAACUUCUAACCUCGGUCCGUAAUCCGGAUCAGGGACAGUGUCUGGUGGGUAGUUUGACUGGGGCGGUCGCCUCCUAAAAAGUAACGGAGGCG